rnacentral:rRNA from 1 species
CGCCUCUUGUUUCUCCUAUAUAAGAGGUCCUGCCUGCCCAGUGACAUAUUGUUAAACGGCCGCGGUAUCAUGACCGUGCAAAGGUAGCGUAAUCACUUGUCUUCUAAAUAAAGACCGGUAUGAAUGGCAAAACGAGAGUUCAACUGUCUCCUUUAACCAAUCAGUGAAAUUGAUCUUUCCGUGCAGAAGCGGAAAUUUAAAUAUAAGACGAGAAGACCCUAUGGAGCUUAAAAUAUAAACCAUUUAUAAAAUAUAUACCAAAAGGCUAAUAAUUAACAUAAAUUCUGGUUAAAAUUUUUAGGUUGGGGCGACCACGGAAUCAAAUAAAACUUCCGAGAUGAAUUAUAAUUCAAGGGUGACAACCCUAAAAAAUAAAACAUUUAACAUAAUUGAUCCAAUAUUUUGAUCAACGGACCAAGUUACCCUAGGGAUAACAGCGCAAUCCUUUCCAAGAGUUCUUAUCGACGAAUGGGUUUACGACCUCGAUGUUGGAUCAGGACAUCCUAAUGGUGCAGCUGCUAUUAAGGGUUCGUUUGUUCAACGAUUAAAGUCCC